rnacentral:lncRNA from 1 species
UGGCUAGAACCCCUUCGAUCGAUGUCCUCAACUGACAAUCGAUCGACGUUGGCAAAGGUAAAUCGGUCGACGUCUUAAUAGACUAUCGAUCGACACUCUCUCGUUGUCUGCAUACUAACCGUUGAGACACGAGAUCUAGCCUAUUAACCAGUGGUACAUGCGACAGCUGAUCACUGAGUUAAGCGAAUGAGCUCUAAUAUAUCAUGCAUGCAACAGUUAGGCAUCUAUAGGUAUUAUAAUCUCC